rnacentral:rRNA from 1 species
UACGGGGGGGGGCAAGCGUUGUUCGGAAUUACUGGGCGUAAAGGGCGCGUAGGCGGCCAACUAAGUCGGACGUGAAAUCCCCAGGCUCAACCUGGGAACUGCGUCCGAUACUGGAUGGCUUGAAUCCGGGAGAGGGAUGUGGAAUUCCAGGUGUAGCGGUGAAAUGCGUAGAUAUCGGGAGGAACAUCAGUGGCGAAGGCGACCACCUGGCCCAACACUGACGCUGAGGUGCGAAAGCGUGGGUAGCAAACAGG